rnacentral:rRNA from 1 species
AUUGAACGCUGGCGGCAUGCCUUACACAUGCAAGUCGAACGGUAACAGGUCUUCGGCUGCUGACGCGUGGCGAACGGGUGAGUAAUACAUCGGAACGUGCCCGAUCGUGGGGGAUAACGGAGCGAAAGCUUUGCUAAUACCGCAUACGAUCUACGGAUGAAAGCAGGGGACCGCAAGGCCUUGCGCGGACGGAGCGGCCGAUGGCAGAUUAGGUAGUUGGUGGGAUAAAAGCAUACCAAGCCGACGAUCUGUAGCUGGUCUCAGAGGACGACCAGCCACACUGGGACUGAGACACGGCCCAGACUCCUACGGGAGGCAGCAGUGGGGAAUUUUGGACAAUGGGCGAAAGCCUGAUCCAGCCAUGCCGCGUGCAGGAUGAAGGCCUUCGGGUUGUAAACUGCUUUUGUACGGAACGAAAAGACUCUUUCUAAUAAAGAGGGUCCAUGACGGUACCGUAAGAAUAAGCACCGGCUAACUACGUG